GCAUUGGUGGUUCAGUGGUAGAAUUCUUGCCUUCUAUGUGGGAGACCCAGGUUCCAUUCCUGGCCAAUGCA
rnacentral:tRNA from 1 species